rnacentral:rRNA from 1 species
AACCAGCUCUUCAAGUGGUCGGGAAUAUUAUUGGGCUUAAAGUGUCCGUAGCCGGUUUGGUAAGUUCCUGGUUAAAUCUGGCAGCUUAACUGUCAGUCAGCUAGGAAUACUACUUUACUAGAGGGUGGGAAAGGUUUGAGGUACUCCAGGGGUAGCGGUGAAAUGCGAUAAUCCUUGGGGGACCACCAGUGGCGAAGGCGUCAGACUGGAACACGCCUGACGGUGAGGGACGAAAGCCAGGGGAGCGAACGGGAUUAGAUACCCCCGUA